CUCCUCUUCUUCAGGUGAGACCUGCACUGGCAGCCCUGCAGCACCUGAUCUUCUCCAGUGAUGAGGAAGUUCUUACUGAUGCUUGCUGGGCUCUUUCUUACCUUUCCGAUGGCACAAAUGAUAAAAUCCAGGCUGUGAUUGAGGCUGGAGUUUGUCCUAGACUCGUGGAGCUUCUUCUGUAAGAUGGCAUAUUUUUAUUUUAACUUCCACCUUAUUCUUUGUAUGUCAUAACAGCUUUGAAAUUCAAUGGGAGAAUCAGUGAAUUAAAUCUUUUUCCUUUUUAUGGAGAAGCUGGGCCUUCUUGGGGCUGAACUGUUAAAAUUCCAUGGAUUCUCUGUAGGUUGGGAACACAGUUUUAUGUUUGUUUGUCUCGGAUUAGGUUACUAUUGCUAAUAUGUAUUUGUUUUCCUUCAGUCAUUCAUCAACAACAGUCCUUGUGCCUGCUCUUCGGACUGUGGGCAAUAUUGUUACCGGUGAUGAUACCCAGACUCAGGUACUUAUUUUACAUUAUUAGAAUUAUGAUCAAAUUUCAAUUAAAACUGGCUGUAGUUCCCAGCUAUUUAUGGGUAGCAAAAUGGGUUAAUAAUUAAUGCAAGAGAGAAAGAAAAAAUUGGGGGCAAGCCAAGCUCCAAAUGUUUCGUAUGCAUCAUGGACUGAAAGAAUAUGGUUCUUGUUAAAGGGAAAAAACAAAGUCAAUUCAUUAUAUUUUUGAGAUGAUGUUAUUGAACCAGAAACGGAGUUAAGAGGACUUCGGUGAGAACACAGUUUUUGCAUAUAAAGCUGACCCUUCCACCUAUGCCCCCUUCACUCUUUAACCUGCUACUUCUGUCUAUAAACAUUGCCACUUGUGUACUUCAAUUACUGGUGAGCAUUAUAGCAUCUGGUUCCUCAUCUUAAUAUUGUUUAGCCUGUUUGAACAAUCUUCUCUCUAAUGUCUCCUCUUUCUUUUUGUCCAAUAUUUCCUCAGACUCUUCUCAUGCACCAAAUGCUGUAUUAAGUAUACAGGAGUUAUUGAGAAUAUAGAAUAUUUAUGUAAAGAUCAAAUUGUUGUUACUUUACAUUAUUUUUCCUUCAUGACAAAGGUUGACUCAUCAAGCGUCUUUUUCAGUGUGUAAUUGAUAACCAAGGGCUCCCUCGUCUCUACCAACUUCUUACUCAAAACUACAAGAAAAGCAUCAAGAAAGAAGCCUGUUGGACAAUUUCAAACAUAACUGCUGGGAGUCGAAGUCAGAUACAGGUGAUGUGCUGAAACAUAUUUUUGUCCUAAAACCAUUGAGUGCAUUUUGAUCCUAUUGUAUUACCAUUCACUAAGACACAUGCUGUGCGUUCGUUAUACCUGACCACCUGACCAACAUAAAAACAUAGUCAGCCACAAUAAAUUCUGAACCAUGGAAAAGUUCAUCAAAGUUCUGUUUUUGGUUUCAUUCUGGAAUUCUGAACCCUGUACCACAUGCUUAUAUUACAAUUGCUAAGUCCCAACUUUUUCUAUAGCAGGCUGUUAUUGAGGCAAACAUUAUUGCUCCUCUUGUAUACCUGCUUCAACAUGCUGAAUUUGAAGUCAAGAAGGAAGCUGCAUGGGCUAUUUCUAAUGCCACAUCUGGUGGUACACGAGAACAGAUUCAGUGAGUCUUUGCUUGCUACCAUCCCUUUCAUAUUAAUGUCACUCGCAUCUGAGAACUCUUAUAUAUAACUUGCAUCCUUGACCCAUCCCUUUUACAUUUGGUUCUCUUGACAUUCUUAUAUUUUUCAAAACCGUUUUUGAAUGGUAAAGUCGAUGACAUCUACUUACCCAUGGUACUAUGGUAGUAAAGAAAAAUGUUAGCUUAGAAAAUGUAAGGUUCUUGCAUCUAUAUGAUGUACAAUACAAUUGAUCGAUGUGGUUUCUGCAGAUUUUUGGUGAGCCAAGGCUGUAUUAAGCCACUCUGUGAUCUCCUCGUCUGCCCAGAUCCAAGGAUCGUGACUGUGUGCUUAGAGGGCCUUGAAAACAUUCUAAAGAUUGGUGAAGCUGACAAAGAAGCAGGCAGUACCACAGCCAAUGUGUAUUCAGAAAUGAUAGACGAAUGUGAUGGAUUGGACAAAAUUGAGAACCUGCAGAGCCAUGACAACAACGAGAUCUAUGAGAAGGCUGUAAAGCUUCUAGAGAGGUAUUGGGUGGAGGAAGAAGACGAUGAACAAAACAUUCCAGAUGGCAAUAACCCGGAAUUCAAUUUCGGAACUGGCCAGCCUAAUAUUCCUUCUGAGGGAUUCAAAUUUAGUUAACAUGAUACUAGAAAUAGUUUUUGCCUUGUGUUCUUUUCAUCUUCAACAGGUAUGUGGGUUUAUUUCUGUUUCACAUUUGAGGGUUAAGACUGAAAUUUAAAGGUCAGAUUUUGUUGUAUGAAUUGUUGCAGUGUAAUCAUCUCAAUUUAAAUUUUAUUUGCAUUCUGUUUGGACCAUAAAAGCUUGAUUUUCAUUUAAUAACUUUAUUAUUUAAAAGUAUUUUCUAUAAUAAUCUAGCAACAUUAGUUAAAAUUAUUGCGUAUAAUUAUAAUGUUGUUAGGAGUUAUAUAUCUAUAUAUAUAUAUAGACAGAUAGAUAGAUAGCUUGGAGAUUGAUCAAGCAUAUCUUAAAAAUAUGUGCCAAAUACAAACAAGAUUUAUUCUACACUUCUAUAUUUAACAGUUACGACAGAAGAUAAAUAAAUCCUAAAUUGAAAACUUUGCAACACCUUUCUCAUUUUCACUUCGUUGAAAUCCUCCAAGUAUGAACGUAUGGUGAAGUGGUGGAAUACACUGUGAACCAAAGGGGUAUACACGUGGCAAUCAUUUAGGCAAAGAAAAUGAAAUGAAGUCACCCCCUCUUCGCCCUACACGUAACUAUAGCCUUUUAAAAGAGGAAUAGAAUUUAACGUCCAGCUCAACUCUUCGUAAUUCCAAAAUAUGGAUGAUGUUGCCAGCUGUAGGGGGCAACGCUAGUGGGCCUUCGUGGCAGCUCAAUUUGUCUUGUCCUGUCGAUGUUUGCCUCCAAUGGGGCCCAUUAGCUCAUCAGUUUGUCAUCUCACGAGGCGAUAAACAAGCGUUGAGUAUUUCACGAGAUAAUCUGACGAUAUGCAUUGCGUUGCCGUUGUCUAUCCGCCGAGAAAAUGCAAUCUGCCUUGAGCGAGUAACAAAGCAAAACUGUAGUUAGUAUCCACAACAAUAUCCAUACGAAAGGAAAACACAUUUACGUGACGAAAAUGGCCUUUGUUUUUGUGCUUUGUGGGGGCAUUGCGGGCUUGCGGCAGCAUUAUUAAAAGGAUAAUAAUGGCAACACAAUUUUAAAAUCAAAAUGUCCGUGGACCAUUCCCAUUAAACGGACCCACUAACGCAAAAGCAGCGACUAACAGUGCAUCAAUUCAAUAUUCAUUUUUGAUUAAAAGGACAAUACGACCUAUCGAAAUGGAUACCUCGUCGCUGGGGUUGUUUUCGUUUUCAGCCCUUUUGUUUUAACGAAACGGGAAAAUAUCUUACUUCAUGUAGUGCCUCCGAAUUGGAAAAAUGGAGACGUUGCUAUAAAAAAAUCAUUUUUGCACAGGCAAUAAAAUAACCGCCGUCCGAUUAUACCAAAAGAGUCCUGGAUGAUCGGGCCAGAUUACAUAGGCCAAAAUCCAGAUCCGGCCCAAAGAUCCACAAAGCCGAAACCGCAACAGCAUUCAAUUCCAAAAUGCAACACAAAUUAAAUAUUAGAAAUUGUAAUGAGACGACUAAUACUGAACAGACACAGAGUCAUGUAAACAUCCACCAACCAUGGUCCAUAUAAAUUAGGAAGCAAAACAAACCAGCCAAUCUAAUCAACCUAUGGCAAAGGGAAGUUUUUUAACUUUUCUAAAUAUCAUAGCUUACAAAACGUCUAAACCAGAUGUUUUUCAAUAGUGUUUCUUUUCUUUUUUGGGGGGGGUUCUCAAGCGUCAACAUAACUAUGCUAAAACAUAUAAUAAGCCUAAAUAGUACUGAAACAUGAUGAUACAGGAUUGAAAAACACAAACACACAACCCAUAACACGUCCUAUCCUUCUUUUUCUACAGAGAGGAGAGAUGGAUUAAGAUAGAAGGAGAGAGAUUGACCUAUUCUGUCAAAUGGUCAGUCCUCAAACCAAGAUGAGAGGCCUACCCUUAUCGCUUGGAUGGUCUCUCGUCAUCCUCUCCACCAUCAUCGUCACCAUCAUCUGAAUCUGAAUUGUCGUCCCUAUCCGAUCUCUUCCUUUUUGAUGGUGCCUCAACCUUCCCGGCACCCUCGUCAUCGUCUUCAUCCUCUUCAUGGACAUCUUCCUCUUCACCAUUUUCCUCAGGUUCAAAGUCACUUGCAUCUUCCUCAUCCUCAGGACGAGCUACUGGCCGGACUAGGUAUUCGGUUCCUAGAUCCUCCUACAGAUAAAUAUGAAUGUAUUGAUAGAAAAAAUGACAUGAUGGGCCAAAACUCAGACCAUAACAAUGAGCAAAUAAGCAAUUGGGAAAAAAAAAUAAAUCAAAAAUACCCUUACUAGAUCGCAAUGGUUGCAUCACUUGCCGUUGAUCAUAAGUACCAAAUAGAUUACUCAAACUUUGAAAACACGAGUCUCACGAAGCAGGUCAAAAAUUUUGGCGUUCAAAGCACAGGCGCAAUCUUCACCAAAGGAAUGUUGCAACUGAUAUGGACGUACUUAAUUUUGAAGUGUCUCAACAGCAUUUUUAAUGAUGAUUUUACAACAGCCCCAAACAGACCGAAAUUGCAGAAACUGCUAUUUUUUAAAAAAAUAUAUAUAUAUUUUUAAAAAAAAAAUCAAGAAUUAAAAAAUCUCAACAGAUCAUCAAAUCCCAAUAAUUAAGUACAAAUAAAAGGCGUUGAAGAUCUGGGAUCUUAAGAUUGACCAUUCAACUUUACCCCUUUUCUUUAUUAACUAACUUUACCAGUAAAAGCUACCAAUAACAAUGAUUGAAUACAAUAACAAAAGCUGCAAUUUGAUGAUUCACUUUGAGAUGACAAGACACAGGAUUUGCUCAGUUCAAAAAGAUCAAAAAUUGACAAAAUUAUGCGAAAAUUUAGCAAAAUUUUUCAGAGAUCGCCAUCAAAACAUACAACGCAAGCAACCAAGCUACAGAUCUGAGCCUAUUACUUAAAAUUCAAAUGUAUAUGAAUAACUAACAAGCAAUUUCGAUGCAUAGACAAGCAGAUCCAAAUUAUUCAACCAGAUCUCAACGAAUAACAAAUAAUUAAAGGCAAUUGUUUUUUAGAAAAUUUGAAAUUAUUACCUCUUCUUCAGCAUCUUCAUCUUCGUCGUCGUCAUUCUCGUCGUCGUCGUCGUCGUCGUCGCCGUCUCCAUCGCCGUCGCCCUCAUCAUCCUCGCCGCCAUCAUCGUCAUCCUCGUCAUCAUCUUCUUCGUCAGCUGACUGAACCGGCGGUCCACCCGUAGAGUGCAAAAUCUGCACCUCCUCUUCGUCGUCAUCUUCAGCUUCAUCGUCGUCAUCUUCAUCUUCGUCGUCAUCGUCAUCAUCGUCUUCGUCACCGUCAUCUUCCUCUUCUUCGUUAUCACCAUCUUCCUCUUCCUCUACUCCAUCUUUGGUUUCGCUCUCAGUAUCAGUAUCUGUAACUUCUUCACUCAACGCACUAAGUUUAUUCUCUUCCUCGAACUCGAACUCCAAUUCCAUUUUCACGAAACUUUCCCGAGAAAAUUCAAAUUUUCUUUCGCAGGAAAAAAUUGGAUGAGACGGGG
rnacentral:lncRNA from 1 species